rnacentral:lncRNA from 1 species
UAAAUUGAGAGCUCACAAUUAUUUACAUAUUUUAAAUAUUUGAGUAACUUUUCACGAAAUAUUAAUGUUAUAUAGAUUAAUUUUUUAUAAAACGAGUAUAAAUGUUAUAUUUUCUAACACUGUAAAUAAUAACACGGGUCAAAAUGCUAAAAUCUCCUUUAAAAAAAAACUGUUGACAACGCGGCCUAUAAGAUGAUAUUUUGAAAUGGAGUGGGAGACAAAACGUGUGGGCAAGUAACAAUGUUACUAAUAAAUUACAUGGAUUUGAGUUAG